CGGCAACACGUUGCGAAACAAAACUACGCGCCUGCAACCCCGCUGGAUGGCCCCGCGGCCGGAAGAGCCACGUCGGCUCCGCCCACCUUUGUGUCGUGGGCGGGGCGUUUCCAACCGGCUGACGCGCACGCGCUGGGAGGCCCCGCCCCCCAUCCCGCCUCCCGCGAUAUCGUGUGGUCGGGCAUCAAGCUGUGGGGCGGUCGCCAGCUCGGUUCUUCGGGACCUUCGGGACAGGGCUGGGGAGCCCGCCCAAAAAGGUCGUUUCUCCUGCAGUUUCCAACAUGGCAGGCAAGUUUUAUAGACAUGGAUAAGAAGUCCAUACACAGAAGUCCUGAAGAUGCCGGGACCGGCAGAAAUGGAGGUGCUCCCCAGGGAAAAAUUAAAAGAAAGAGAGAAGAGAAAAGGGGUAAAUGGAAAAAAAAGAAAGAGAGGACAAAAGAUGAAACAUCAAGAAAAAGAAAGAGAAGAAAAAAAGGAGGGAAUGGCCACAUGCUAUCACCUUUCCAAGAGGGGCUGAAACCAGGCUAAACUCGUUGAUUUCUGAAACUCAGUCCUUUGGUGUAAGGUGGCCAAACGAGAAUGCAGAGCCCAGCACGGUGAAAGCUACAGUGGAGGAGCUUGGGGACGGCACGUCUUUCACACCACGUCUAGACUCCUGACACCAAUCUUCACGUCCCCUGUAACCACACAAUAAAAAGUUGGGAAAUCACAUUGUGUUUAUGAAGAUCCACGUCCAACACCGGAGAGCCUGACGACAAGCCAGUUGUGGCCAUUUUAGGAUGCUUACCCUGUUUGCAAAUAUUCUGUAGGGAAGGAGGAGAUUGAGCCUACUUCUCUUAAAUGUAUGCCUAAUAAUUGCAACUAAAAUACUUACACCAAAGUCCUACACAAAGCAGAAGACUUACAGAUGGCAUGAAAAAGCUAAAGCCUUCCCAAGUUUCAUGUUUCUGUUUUUUACUAAUGUCCCCUUCUUUCAACAAGUGUUAUCAGUUUUCGUAAUCUCAGUGUUUGUUCUGGAGCCUGAUGUAAUGUUCUUUUACUCUUGUUACUCCAGGUACACUGAUGAUAAGUUUCCAACCAAAAGCUUUCAUCUCUAAAGAUGAUCACUUUGUUUAUAAAACAAGAAAGGAGAAAGCAGUUCCCCAGUCAGCCCUUGCUGUUGCCUCUAACGGUUUUACGCAUCGUUGGGCCUUUUGCUCGCUUGGGUUUGUGAGGGAAUGUGUGUCCAAUCUAACCAUGUCCUUGAUAGUUGCCUUUAAAAGAAGCUCCUGCUAGAAGUGAAUGAUGGCGACAGGGCUAGGUUUAUUGUUUUGAACUGGAAGUUGAGGUACUAUUAUUUUGUUAUUCAGGCAAAACUAAAAGAUUGAAAUUAAUCUUGAAUAGGGGCUGGCCCCACGCCCCGGUGGUUAAGUUUGGCGCUCUCUUCUUCUGUGGCCCAGAUUCAGCUCCUGGGUGCAGACCUACACCACUUGUCAGCAGCCGUGCUGUGGUGGUGACCCACGUACAAAAUAGAGGAAGAUCAGCACAGAUGUUAGCUCAGAGACAAUCUUCCUCACCAAAAAGUAAAUUAAAAUUAAAAAAUAAAUGAAUAAUCUUGAAUGCUGUUUUGUGCUGAAGUUAGAGUUUAAGAUGUUAUUCAUAUCACCGUAAUGUGGUGGUGUUACUGAAUGCCAUUCCUUGAAGGGUUUUUUCCCUUCAAAGUAAAAUUAUAAUAGGAUUGUAGUUAAAUUAAAUUAAGCAUCUUUAUCUUUGAUUAUAAAGAGAUUUAGCACAACUGUACAUUAUUUUUCCUCCUAUAUUGUGUUGGACUCCUAGUAUUUGUGUAUCAAGAAAGCAUUUCCUUAUAUUUGAAUGAUAACAUUUUAAAAACAUACCAGCAGAGGACAUAGGUUUUUUGCUUUUUGGUAUUUUUUUUUUUCAUUUUUGAUUUACUGAAGAAAUAAAGGCAUUUUAGUUUGCAAAUGGACUGUUUUCUUUUUUCCAGGAAAACUAAAAUUCACAAUUAUGGGAUAACCAUGGUCUCUUCAAGAGGACAAAAUAAAAUAUAGGCAUUAGACAUUAAAGUUAUUCCAAAACUUUGUUUUAAUUUGCGGAUUAACUAAAACAGUGAGCAUGCUCUCUGGAGGAGAGCAUAAGAGCAGUGGCAGG
ensembl:lncRNA